rnacentral:rRNA from 1 species
UACGUAGGCAGCAAGCGUUGUUCGGAGUUACUGGGCGUAAAGGGUGUGUAGGCGGUCUUCUAAGUUUGGUGUGAAAUCCCUCGGCUCAACUGAGGAACUGCCUUUGAAACUGUCUGGCUUGAGGCCAGGCGAUGGGGGUGGAAUUCCCGGUGGAGUGGUGAAAUGCGUAGAGAUCGGGAGGAACACCAGUGGCGCAAGCGGCCCCCAAGCCUGAACCUGACGCUGAAGCGCGACAGCGUGGGGAGCAAACGGG